rnacentral:rRNA from 1 species
UUCUUAAUGAAAUUUUUUUAAGUACAUCCUGCUCAAUGAAUUUUAAAUAGCUGCAUAAUUUUAGUGUACUAAGGUAGCAUAAUAAUUUGCCUUUUAAUUGAAGGCUAGAAUGAAUGGAUAUACGAAAGAAUAUUUGUCUCUAUUUUUUUUCUUGAAAUUACUUUUAUAAUAAAAAUUUUUAUAAAAAAUAAGAAAGACGACAAGACCCUAUCGAACUUUACUAACGUUUAGCUGGGGCGGCAAUUUGAAAAAAAUCUUCUUGUUCUACUUGAAUAUUAAAAAACCAAGUUACCGUAGGGAUAACAGCAUAAUCUUAUUUUAGAGCCCUUAUCAAAAUUAGAGAUUAUGACCUCGAUGUUGAAUAGAAAUCCUAAUAUAGAGCAAAAUUUUAAAUAGUAAGUCUGUUCGACUUUUAAUUUUCUACA